AUCGAAUAUGCGUGUCAGGUCUUUCAUAGUAAUCUGCCAUCAUAUUUGUCGAAUGAAAUGGAAAGGAUUCAGAGACGAGCAAUGCAUGUGAUCUUUCCAGACCUCAGUUAUAAUGAUGCGCUUGCAGAGACUAAACUUUCCAAACUUGGUGUAAGAUGGGAGAAAUUGAGUGGUGAUUUAUUUAGUAAUAUUGUUAAGAAUGAUAAUCAUAAAUUAGCCUAUCUGUUACCUCCUAGAGUUAAUGUAUCUCGGAACAUGAGGAAUCCUAGAACUUUUGAAAUUUCGAUGUGUUAGACAAAUCGGUUCAAGAAAUCAUUUAUAGUACUCAUGAUAUUUGUUUUGUUGGUGUAGUGUACCCAGGUGAAUGAGAUGCUUGUGAUGUUACUCUGAGUGUAUAUCCACACCGAGUAGGCUUGAAAAAUAUGCCUGACCAUGGUGG
rnacentral:lncRNA from 1 species